UUGGGAAUCUUGCACAAUGGGGGAAACCCUGAUGCAGCGACGCCGCGUGGAGGAUGACGGAUCUAGGUCUGUAAACUCCUUUUUCAUGGAAAGACUUAGGACGGUACCAUGAGAAUAAGGACCGGCUGACUACGUGCCAGCAGCCGCGGUAAGACGUAGGGUCCAAGCGUUGUCCGGAUUUACUGGGCGUAAAGAGCGCGUAGGCGGUCUGUUAAGUGUGAAGUGAAAUCUCCAGGGCUCAACCCGGAAACUGCUUCGCAUACUGGCAGACUUGAGGAAUGCAGAGGUUUGUGGAAUUCCCGGUGUAACGGUGAAAUGUGUUGAUAUCGGGAGGAACACCCAUGGCGAAGGCAGCAAACUGGGCAUUAUCUGACGCUGAGGCGCGAAAGCGUGGGUAGCAAACAGGAUUAGAUACCCUGGUAGUCCACGCCCUAAACGAUGGAUACUAGGCGUAAGAGGUAUCGACCCCUCUUGUGCCGCAGUCAACGCAUUAAGU
rnacentral:rRNA from 1 species